CAAGCUGCUCCUAGUCGACAUGGGCAAUUUAGUCCAUUUUUGGCCUUCUUCUGGUUCAAGCGGUGCCCUGCUUUGGUUAUAGAUAAGGACACCAUAAACACAUUGAUUUUUCUCGCCGGUGCUUCGUCUCCAUGCCGGUUCUUCUAUUUCCAUAAUUUGGACCUAUUUGUGGAGGAACAACCUCUUUCAAUGCCAACACAACUGUGAGAUAUAAUUGAUAUGAGGCCGUUGGGAAUCGUGGUUAUGCAAGGAUGAUUAAAUAUUAUAGCCCUUCCAAUAUUGAUUUAUUGCACAAGGUAAAACUCAAAAGCUAAGUUGGAGAAGAAUUGUUCAUUGGCAUAGAGGUGAAGAGUAACAUAGUAUAGAAAGGAAGCAUCACAGAUACUCAUUUGUAUUCCAUAUAACCAAGCUAGGCAAAAUCUAUUAUUCCAGGCAGAACCUCGCGCGAUGAUACUUCUACAGCUGUACAAGACAAAGGAAAGAAUAUAGUUAGCUCUCUCUGCAUUUUCGAACCAUGCUCAACAUCAGCUACACCUGCGGGACAACAUAACCCAAACUUAACAACUAUAUCUCGCAAAGGUUCGCCGUUAAUGUUUCCUCAACAGCAUGAAGGCAAUGGCUGGCAAAAAUAAAGGUGCUAGAGAUCAUCAAUAGACGCUCCGUUAAAGAUUUAUUUCUUUCCUGAUAGCGGUGAAACCUCCUUGCUUUUCAGGGGAAUCGUACUUACUUUCAUCUUUACUUUUGAGUAGUUCUUUUGAGGUAGCUGCGGGCUUGUCUCGGCACCUUCUUGACAGCUGAUAGAGGCUUCUUAGACAUAGAUAGAGUCCACUGGAGUUGAUGUCUUUUACGAGUCUAUUUUCUAAAACUAUUUUGAUGAUAUUGGGUUGAUUUGAUGUUGUUCUUUGUACCUCUUUCUUUGCUAAAUAUUGAUCGUUAGCCCA